GGGCGGUGGUGUCAGUCGACGCUGUGAGUGAACGGGCGGAGCUGGUGGGCGGCAUUCCUGAUGCGGUGCGGCAGAAUGCUUAUGUCUCGUUUGCAAGCCCCCUGGGUGUGCAUCUUAAACAGGACAUUAAGGAGGGAAUAUUGAAGGGUAAGUUUGUGGAGAUUUUUGCCCUGUUGCCUCUGGAGGACUAUAUUGACCUCAAGGAAGAGGAUAAAAUAGAUGCAAAUAAGGAGGAGGAGGAGAAGAAUAGGUAUUGCAAGAUACCAAAGUCCUUUGGGAAUUGGCUGCGGGCAUUUUGUCUCCUCGCCAGCAUUAUUGGUGAAAGGUCCACGGGGAUUUGCUCUUCCUUGUUUUGCUACCUGGAUGGGAUCUGGGAGGCAUAUAGGACGAAAUACGACGAGCAAUUCUAUCAGAGACUUGCGGCUAAACCUGGGAUGCGGUGGGACCAAAUGGACCUGCCUGUCAUGGCGUACGUUAGUUUGGAGUCUGGUAGGCAGAGAUUUGUGCUCACCCUUGCAGAUAAACACAGCCCACGGUAACCAGAAAGGAAGCUACCUGGGCUGUGAAUCUGUGCACGGGGGCUUAGGCAGGAACAGUAAUCGGGUACAAGGAAACAGACAAGGGCGAAUACAGAAGAGUAGUCAGACACGGUUCCAAAGGUCAGGGCAGGCAGUGAACAGGCAAUAACGAAGAUCCAGAAGCAGGGGUCACAAGCCAAGUCAGUCUUUAAGCAACAGAAAACAUGAAACAACGAACUGACAAUGUUCUAAGGAAGGGGCAGUGUUUUAUGCCCAGCUAAUGAGUGAUCUGCCUCAGGUGAACUUAGAUGGACAGGUAGGAGCCACUGGUGAAGUCCAGCCCCCUAGUGCUGCAAGCAAUGCCAGGAAAACAAGGUUAGAACCAAAGUCCAGAAGUGUCUCAGAGGCAGGAACUCAGGCUUAGGAUGCAGAAGACCCUAGGUUCAAAUCCCCUGUUGAGCACAUAUGGGGUGACCACGUCUGGAUGUCACAGUGAGAACCGUGACAGUACCCCCCCUUUAAGAACGCCCUCCGGGUGUGAACAGGCUCUUUGUAGUGGUAGUAUUCCUCACUGACAGAGUCCCCAUCCAUGGAAUAACAUCCCUCGAUUUUAGUCCCCAGAGAGGGGUUCCUUCACGGUAAGGAGCCCCAUAGUACCAGCUUCUGGUACCGCUGGAGAGUCGUCAUUGUCUUUGAAGAUCCGGAUGCAGGUGGUAAGUAUUUUGAUUCCAGAAGGCACAUCCUCUGAACUUUUCACUUUGGGUACAUCAACAGGAAUGGAGUUUGUGGCUUGCAGGGGUGGGAACAGAGUCCACCGGUGUUUUCAGAAGGGAAAAGGGGGGUCUGGCAGUGGUGCAGCCCUGCUACUCCAGGGCAGAACCCCAGUGAGCCUUGCCGCGAUGCAGCUGUGGCUAAGCCUCUAUGGUAAUAGGGAGGAUACGGAGUUACUGAGCGCGGGUUUCCAGGAAGGUUUCGUCAUCCCAUUCCGGAACAUGAAGGCUACAUGGAGUUAUUGUAAUCUGAAGUCAGUGGGAGGUUUUCUGGACGUGGUUCAGGAAAAACUGUUUAAGGAGGUCCAGCUGUGUAGGAUGGGGGGACCAUUUGAUGUCGCCCCGUUGUCCAACCGGUGGCUGUUGCCUUUGGGGGUGGUCCCCAAAAAGGAGGCUGGGAAGUACUGCCUUAUCCAUCACUUAUCUCACCCUAAGGGGGCGUCCGUCAACGAUGACGAUGACAUUGCUAGGGAGCAAUGCUCGGUCUCUUACACAUCAUUUGACCAGGCGGUAGAGUUGGUUAAGAGGGCCGAGCGGGGGGCAUUGUUGGCCAAGGUGGAUAUCGCGGCAGUGUUUCGGUUGUUACCCGUUCACCCGGCGAGCCAUCACCUGCUGGGUUGCUUCUUCAAGGGGCGGUUCCUUGUUUACCUUUGUCAUGGGUAGUUCCAUUUCUUGCUCGUACUUUGAAAAGUUCAGCUCAUUUCUGAAAUGGGUGGUGAAGCGGGAAUCCAGGAGUCGGGCGGUGGUGCACUACCUGAACGAUUUAUUUUGUGUGGGCCUGGCAGAUUUCCCAACUUGCAGCUACUUACUGAGGACAAUCGAGUGGGUGGCUAUCAUGUUUGGAGUGCAGAGGAAAAAACAGAGGGCCCGACGACAUGUUUAAGCUUCCUCAGGCUGGAAAUUGACUCCUAGCAGGGGGAGUACUGUCUUCCCAUAGCAAAACUCAUGGGGCUUCGAGAGGCAGUGGCGGCGGUCACGGAAGGUCACAUUGAAGGAGCUGCAGUCACUUGUUGGGAAGCUCAAUUUCGCUUGUCGUGUCGUUCCGAUGGGGUGGAUAUUCAGUCAGAGCCUUUCCAGGGCUACGGCGGGGAUGCGACUGCCACACCACUUCGUGCGGGUGUCCUCAUCCAUGAGGGCUGACCUGGAAGUAUGGGACACUUUCUUGGAGCACUUCAGUGGCACGGUGUUCUUUCAGCGGGAGGCGGUGUUGCAGCUGAGCUGCAGCCGUAUACAGAUGCCUCGGGCAACAUGGGUUUUGGGGCGUACUUCGGGGAGGAUGGUGCAUGGCGCCCUGGCCUGCAGCCUGGCUGGCUUGUCCACUGGCGCGGAAUCUGGCUUUCCUGUAACUGUUCCCAUUGGUGGUCGCCUUGUCACUUUGGGGUGCACUCCUGAGCGAUAGGAAGGUGGUGUUCUAUAUGGAUAAUAUGGCUGUGGUGUAUGUGGUAAAUAAUAUGCCGGCCGCUUUGGUUCCAGUGGUGCAAAGUUUGUUUUGCUCUGCAUGUCCCUCAAUGUGGUGUUCUGCGCGCGACACAUACCAGGGUAUUUGAAUGUGGUGGCUGAUGCUCUGUCUCAUUUGCAGUGGUCCCAAUUUCGAAAGGAGGCGCGGGACAUGGCAGGUAGCGCAGGGCUGGAUUCCUCCCCGGCGAUAGGCACAUGGCUGCUCUAUCAUUUUGGUUUAAGCUGCGGGGGUGGGUAGACUUUACUAAGAAUUUUGUGAUAAGACAAGCGAUCAAAGGUUUUGCGGAAGGGGAACAAAACCCGGGAGGCCAGGAGACCGGUUUCCAUUGCACUUUUUGAGAAGUUGAUGUUUUUCCUACAGGACAUCUGCUAUGAUGGUUACGAAGCAUGUUUGUUUGCAGUGGCAUUCUUGCUGGCCUUUUUCGGCACUUUCCAGAUCAGAAGUUGGUCAGCGCUAACCGGGCGAGUCGGAGGGGAUACUGCUCCCGGACGUUCGGGUGGAGGCCACGCAGGUGGUAAUCUAUCUUACCCGGUCUGAUGUCAAGGGAAAAGGUGUCGAUGUGGUGCUACAUGCUUUUCUUGGAUCCUCCUUGUGCCUGGUGGCUAGUACUACUAGAUACUUGUCUCGGCGUUCUGACGCCUGGCGGCUCGUUCUUGGUGCAUGUUGACGGUUCCUUACUUUCCCGAUUUCAGUUUCUCAGGGUCUUUUGGAUGGGGCUCAACAGGCUGGGACUCCAGCCGAGCCAGUUUGAGAUGCACUCAUUCAGGAUAGCGGCCGCAACGGAGGCAAAGAGGUUAGGUUUGGGGGACGAGCUCCAGUCUAACGGUUCAGUUCCAGUCUAACGUUAGUCUUAACAAACUGGUGUGAAGACUGGCUUGGGGGUUGUGACGAGACCAAUCUCACCACAUUGCAUUGGAGGAGCCUGGUUGCCCACCUGCUGCCUUUGGAUUAUGGACCGGCAGUUAAAUGGUUAAUUUUACUGUGCAGAAAGAUUUAUUCCUUCCUUUCUGCACAGCCGUUCGGUAGAUUCUAUCUACCGAACAAACAGACUUCUAUCAGCCUCCCCAGAGCCGUGGGAAGUCGGCCGGCGCCGUUAAUUGGCCACCCAGAAGCUGGCGUGUGCCCUCCAUUUACCUCCCUGAAGCCGCGGUUAACCGCGGCUUAACGAGCGUGUGCCGGCAAUUGACCACCCAGUAGCUGCGGUUAACUGCAGCUUAAUUGACUGUUACUGGGUGGUCGCGGUUACACCUAGCCGCCACACGAUGGCGAUGUUCUGGAGCUCCCCGGGCAGCCAGCGCUUUUCUGCCCGGCUUUCCUACGCCAAAUCUGGACACUGUGUCAGCUAAGCACCGCUGAGCCUCCAGCCCCUGG